GUAUCAUGCUUGUUUCAGCAGCACAUAACGGAACUAUACAGAGAAGAUUAUCAUGGCCUCUGCACAAGGAUGACACACAAAUUCAUUCAGCCUGGAAUUGAUUG
ensembl:snRNA LOC120103222 U6 spliceosomal RNA